CAUAAUGGGGAAUUUGGACAAAUAGACCCAGCUUCAAACACUGGCUCUGCCCCUGCUGGCUUUAUAACUUUGGGCAAAUUUGUCUCUCUCAGCUUCUAUUUUCUCAUGUGGCCUUUGUGAGGAUAUAAUAAGAAAACCUACAUAAAUCCCCAGUCUGGAGUAGGUUCUUGGUGGGAAGGAAUGAUUGUAAGGACCUCUUCCAGUUCCAACCUCAUGGGAUUCUUGUGGUGCUGAUCUCCAGGUCCCUCCUUGUUUUGCAAGACGCUGCCCUAGGCCUCUCUCCAGCCCCAGUUACAACCGGAGCAGAGAGCAUGGGGCCCCUUCUCACUAUCCAUUCCUGCUCCACUUAAGAAUCUGCAUCUCCAGAGAGAAGGACGCUGUGCAGAGCUCCACCUCCAGUCACCUGAGCACAUGGGCGCAAAUGACGUGACUUUUCUCUGUCAUGAGAAUCCAUCGGAGACUGAACUAAGUAAACUUUUAUUUCCAUAUCUCAUUCUCUUGAAGAGAACACAGUCAUAACUCCACAGAGAAUAAACAUACGCAGUCUAAUCUUUCUCCUUGCUGGGACAGUUUGUUGAAAUUGGUGAAAUGAUGCAGGCCCCGCUGAAAUGGCUUGAUAAGCGUUAUGGAGGAACUGGAAAUCCGAGAGGAAAUGGGAUUUAAAGAAUGUUCUCAACAUGACUGAAUCCAAAGAGAAGCAGAUAUUUACCCCCAUGAGGUGCAGAUCCCUUCCAAUUCCUCUGCUGUGCGCUGCCCAUCAGAAGAUAUCCCAGGCUUACGGAAGAGCUGUUGAAAUGUCCAUUAAGAAAAAUUGAUUCUGAAGUGUGACAUCAUGUCCUUGAAGACACACGAUAUCAUGACAGGACAUGAUAUAAUGUCCUGUGCAAAUAGAAAUUGCAUUGUCAGAGACCCGAUUGCUUCAGGAGGAAAGAUACGGCUAUAAAAAUAAAAUCAUAAUUUAUGAAACUGAUGCUUGUGGUAGGAAUGUUCAGCGUUGAGUGCUCCUCCUUACCAUGAACCCCAAAUUUUGUGUUAGAUCCUACGUGACCAGUUGCUUACCUCCUUUCUCUUUUAUUGACAAAAUCUCAUAAGGACUGAGUUUUC
rnacentral:lncRNA from 1 species